CGGCGAGUAGCGCAGCUUGGUAGCGCAACUGGUUUGGGACCAGUGGGUCGGAGGUUCGAAUCCUCCCUCGCCGACCA
rnacentral:tRNA from 1 species